UGGGGAAUAUUGCACAAUGGGCGCAAGCCUGAUGCAGCCAUGCCGCGUGUAUGAAGAAGGCCUUCGGGUUGUAAAGUACUUUCAGCGGGGAGGAAGGGAGUAAAGUUAAUACCUUUGCUCAUUGACGUUACCCGCAGAAGAAGCACCGGCUAACUCCGUGCCAGCAGCCGCGGUAAUACGGAGGGUGCAAGCGUUAAUCGGAAUUACUGGGCGUAAAGCGCACGCAGGCGGUUUGUUAAGUCAGAUGUGAAAUCCCCGGGCUCAACCUGGGAACUGCAUCUGAUACUGGCAAGCUUGAGUCUCGUAGAGGGGGGUAGAAUUCCAGGUGUAGCGGUGAAAUGCGUAGAGAUCUGGAGGAAUACCGGUGGCGAAGGCGGCCCCCUGGACGAAGACUGACGCUCAGGUGUGAAAGCGUGGGGAGCAAACA
rnacentral:rRNA from 1 species